rnacentral:lncRNA from 1 species
GGUUAUUAUGCCUCUCAGUUCUUUUUUCAUCCUUUCAAUUGGAAAUUCAGUACUUAGGCUUGAGAAAGACACUGGAGAAAAGAAAAUUAGGAAACACCAGGCUCCCAUUAUGAAUGAGGGAAAUUAACAUAUUUCUACAAGAAAGUAUGGUAGAUAAAUUGGUGAAAUAGAGGCAGGAGGCUUGUAAAUUCAGGGCCAGCCUCAGUCGUUUAGCUUAGGCCCUAAACAAAUUAGUGAGACCCCCCUCUCAAAAUAAAAUGGUUCAUCAGUGUCAGUACCUCUCCUUUCCUAGGUGGAGAAUUGUCCCUGUAAAUAACUUUGAUCUCUUUCCUUCUACCUGUACUUACCAGCUUAAUGUUAAACCCUAUGGGUCAGAGCAUGGUAAUACCAAGAAAUGUUUCAGUACAUUUCUUGCUAAAUGAUUCAAUGUCAUGGAACAAAUAAUUAAAUGUCAUAUCUAUUGUCUGAAAAGGAUAGAUACUUGUGCUUUUCCUUUGGAGCAAAGAAAUACCAGUGCUUUAACCAUUUCCUUCCCUGCUGUUAACAUAAAUACUGAGUUUGAGUUAUUAUUAAAGCUUUGUCCCAGGGUUUCAUAAACUGACUUCCAGACCACUCACGUAUAAUCGAAUCAAGCCUUUAUUGAAGCACACCGGUGGCGGCUGACCAGAACACAAAGCUGUUCCCCUGAUCAGCCCCGAACGAUUGCAAGGGCACUCCUUAUAAGCCUGAAAACCGCAAAAGGGAUGUUCAGGGGGUCUAGCCAAUGCAAGCAAGCCAGGUUACAGAAGCGGGACAGUGCAGUCAAGCAGAGGGAAGCCUAACCACUCACAGUUAGCCCAGUCACCCCAGUUACAGAAACAGAGCCUCAUUACCCUAGUUACAGAAACAAUACCCCAUUAGGUAGUUCCGUGUUCUUAAAGGUUUCUAUAGCAAAAGGAAAAGAACAUUUUGCCCCAGUUAUGACUCUUCUACUUGGCGUGGUUGUUUUACAGGAUGAAGUCAUAAAACAAAAUGGAGUCACAUUUGCUCCUACUAUCACAUUAUCUUGAUGGAUUUUUCAAACUGGAUAUUUUCUCAUAAAGUAAGUGAAUUGUAGCUGGGUGCAUUGGCACAGAUCUAAUCUCCUGACCUGGAAGGCUGAGACAGGAGGAUUGCAAGUUUGAAGCCAGCCUCAGUAACUUAGCAAGAUCCUUUCUUAGAAUGAAAAAUAAAAAGGGUUGGGGAUGUGGCUCAGUGGUAAAGCACACUUGGGUGUCUCCCUCCCUCCCCCUCCAAAAAAUUGUCAUUUUGACUGGGGAGCAGAGGUCUCCCCCAGUGAUUCCAAACUGAGGCAAAUAAUGAAAUUAUGAAAGGAGGUCUUCUUCCUGGGAGCCUACCCCUAAGUAUGUCCCAGCCUACCCACAAGUAUGUCCCACACCUAGUACAGAAGGAUACUUGGUAUUGAGACACUGGAAAGCCUGGAUCCACCUGCACCUGUGGACAGCAUUGGACUGGAAGGGGAGAUAUGCUUACUCUCUGAGGCUGUGGUUCUUAUUCCUGGGCUUUUCUACAUGUUGUACAAAAUGAAAUGUUGCCAGGUGUGAUUGUUCACGCCUAUUAUCCCAGCUGUUUUCGGAGACUGAGGCAGGAGGCUUGUAAAUUCAGGGCCAGCCUCAGUCAUUUAGCUUAGGCCCUAAACAAAUUAGUGAGACCCUGUCUCAAAAUAAAAUGGUUGGGGUUGUAGCCUAGUGGUAAAUUGCCCUUGGUUAAAUCCCCAGUACCACAAAUAAAAAAGUGAAAUUGAAAUGUUGAUUGAGGAUAUGGCUUUAUUUGAAAGGAGUACUGUAGUAGGGGGAAAGCCUCAGCUGUAAGGUCUGCAGAUAUCCCAGUAGAAAGCAGAAAGGGCUUCCCUCACCCCCACCCUCAGGAGGUAGAUACCAGAAGAGAGCAGAAAGAAUGGGAGAGCAAGGGAUGAUGGAGGGUGGAACAUAAGAUCCUGAACCAGAGAAAGUUUCCCCUGAAGACAGUCCAUUAUAUAAAGGGAGGGUUGUGUGCUGGCUCAGGCUGAGAUUGGGUCAGAGAUCACAGGUCUAGAGGAAGGAGAGAAUUUAAGUUUGAUGAACAAGUAUAUGUUAUUUAUACUGAUAAGUUCAGCUUAGUCAUAUGAGGCAAAAAUCAAGAAUUUGAAAAUACAUGUCUGGUUUAAAAGGUGGGGGCAGUAUCAUCUAAGUGUAAUGGGAAGGGUGUUUUUUUGCACUAGGCUGCUUCUCCAGAACACAGGCAAUGGGACUUGAUUUCUUUUAUUAUUGCUGGAUGGCUGGGCUUGGGUGACAUUAAACUCUUAGCAGCCUGAUUUUGCAUCCACAGAGUUGGGUUAGUCAGCAUAAUUUGUGCCCAUUGAGAAAGUCUAUGAAUUUCUGACCCAGACACCUCUGGGUUCUGCUGGAGGAGCAUUUGUGAAUUUGAG